rnacentral:rRNA from 1 species
GAUGAACGCUGGCGGCGUGCUUAACACAUGCAAGUCGAGCGAAGCGCUUUGACGGAUUUCUUCGGAUUGAAGUCUUAGUGACUGAGCGGCGGACGGGUGGGUAACGCGUGGGUAACCUGCCUCAUACAGGGGGAUAACAGUUGGAAACGACUGCUAAUACCGCAUAAGCGCACAGUACCGCAUGGUACGGUGUGAAAAACUCCGGUGGUAUGAGAUGGACCCGCGUCUGAUUAGGUAGUUGGUGGGGUAACGGCCUACCAAGCCGACGAUCAGUAGCCGACCUGAGAGGGUGACCGGCCACAUUGGGACUGAGACACGGCCCAAACUCCUACGGGAGGCAGCAGUGGGGAAUAUUGCACAAUGGGGGAAACCCUGAUGCAGCGACGCCGCGUGAGCGAUGAAGUAUUUCGGUAUGUAAAGCUCUAUCAGCAGGGAAGAAAAUGACGGUACCUGACUAAGAAGCCCCGGCUAACUACGUGCCAGCAGCCGCGGUAAUACGUAGGGGGCAAGCGUUAUCCGGAUUUACUGGGUGUAAAGGGAGCGUAGACGGCAUGGCAAGCCAGAUGUGAAAGCCCGGGGCUCAACCCCGGGACUGCAUUUGGAACUGUCAGGCUAGAGUGUCGGAGAGGAAAGCGGAAUUCCUAGUGUAGCGGUGAAAUGCGUAGAUAUUAGGAGGAACACCAGUGGCGAAGGCGGCUUUCUGGACGAUGACUGACGUUGAGGCUCGAAAGCGUGNGGAGCAAACAGG